rnacentral:tRNA from 1 species
GGGCUCGUAGCUCAGUUUGGUAAGAGCUUCCGGCUCAUAACCGGGAGGUCGGUGGUUCGAAUCCACCCGAGCCCACCA